UACGAAGGGGGCUAGCGUUGCUCGGAAUCACUGGGCGUAAAGGGUGCGUAGGCGGUUCUUUAAGUCCGGGGUGAAAUCCUGGAGCUCAACUCCAGAACUGCCUUUGAUACUGAAGAUCUUGAGUUCGGGAGAGGUGAGUGGAACUGCGAGUGUAGAGGUGAAAUUCGUAGAUAUUCGCAAGAACACCAGUGGCGAAGGCGGCUCACUGGCCCGAUACUGACGCUGAUGCACGAAAGCGUGGGGAGCAAACAGG
rnacentral:rRNA from 1 species